rnacentral:tRNA from 1 species
AUGGGCGUAGCUCAAUCGGUAGAGCGCAGGUCUCCAAAACCUGAUGCGGAGGUUCGAUCCCUUCCGCCCGUGCCA